UUUUGCCCCAUAUUUUUCUCUCUUCCUCCUCUCUCUCUCACGCGUUUCUCUACCAUAACGAAACCGAAGGCGAUUUGUCUCAAAUCAGAAGCAAUCGGAGGAGUCUCCGAUGUUUAUGACCUCCGGCGGAAUAUCAUGAAGAAGAGAGGUCUCGAUUCCAAUUUCAUCAUUGAUUCGGCUGGAACCAUUGAUUAUCAUGAGAACUUGGUCGAAUGGAAGAAGCUGCAGUAGCUUCCAAAAAAGGCUAUGAGAUAAACAAAGAAGACGCCUGGGCACAUCACUGUUUGUGUCAUGUUCUUCAACAUGAAUGUCGGUUUAAAGAAGCAGUGGAGUUCAUGGAAGCACUCGCAGAAUCUUGGCCUUCUUGCUCAUCCUUCAUGUAAAGCAUGCUCUCACAUAUUAUCAAGCUCUCUUCUUAUAAUUUAGAAUUCCUGAGAUUUUUUUUAUUAAACAUGUAUAAAAUUGUCAGGUAUUAUUUCAGAACAUUGCCUAUAAAUAUCACAAAGUUUAUAUACGAUGAAUUAUCUCUUGUCUUAA